AUUUUUUUCCCAAUUUAUUUUAAAACUAGCUGAACUGCUGAGGAAUUAAGGCGAGGUUGCCUUUUCUCAAUCGACCUGCUUCAUGUACUUUUUGAUUUUUGUUUUUAUUAUUAUUAUUAUUAUUAUUAUUAUGUACCAUCUCGUAGAAUUGUUGGUUCAAGUGUACAAACAAAUGUGUUAAAAUUAUAUGAAUAAAACCCUUUAUAUGUA